ACGGAAGGCAGCAGUGGGGAAUAUUGCACAAUGGGGGAAACCCUGAUGCAGCGACGCCGCGUGAGUGAAGAAGUAUUUCGGUAUGUAAAGCUCUAUCAGUUGGGAAGAAAAUGACGGUACCAAACUAAGAAGCCCCGGCUAACUACGUGCCAGCAGCCGCGGUAAUACGUAGGGGGCAAGCGUUAUCCGGAUUUACUGGGUGUAAAGGGAGCGUAGACGGUGAAGCAAGUCAGAAGUGAAAGCUCAGGGCUCAACCCUGGAACUGCUUUUGAAACUGUUUUACUAGAGUGCAGGAGAGGUAAGCGGAAUUCCUAGUGUAGCGGUGAAAUGCGUAGAUAUUAGGAGGAACACCAGUGGCGAAGGCGGCUUACUGGACUGUAACUGACGUUGAGGCUCGAAAGCGUGGGGAGCAAACAGGAUUAGAUACCCUGGUA
rnacentral:rRNA from 1 species